GUGGGGAAUAUUGGGCAAUGGGGGAAACCCUGACCCAGCAACGCCGCGUGAAGGAAGAAGGUCUUCGGAUCGUAAACUUCUAUCCUUGGUGAAGAUAAUGACGGUAGCCGAGAAGGAAGCCCCGGCUAACUACGUGCCAGCAGCCGCGGUAAUACGUAGGGGGCAAGCGUUGUCCGGAAUGAUUGGGCGUAAAGGGCGCGUAGGCGGCCUGGUAAGUCUGGAGUGAAAGUCCUGCUUUUAAGGUAGGAAUUGCUUUGGAUACUGUCGGGCUUGAGUGCAGGAGAGGUAAGUGGAAUUCCCGGUGUAGCGAUGAAAUGCGUAGAGAUCGGGAGGAACACCAGUGGCGAAGGCGACUUACUGGACUGUAACUGACGCUGAGGCGCGAAAGUGUGGGGAGCAAACAGGAUUAGAAACCCCUGUAGUCC
rnacentral:rRNA from 1 species